rnacentral:lncRNA from 1 species
GUUUUGAAAACAAUUGUUAGGCAGUCUUUCCCCUCUGAUGAAUGGAUAAUUGAUUUUUUUUUUAUUGAUUGAUUUGGAAAAAGGGGGGGGGGUAUUUGUUUAUUUGUUUGUUUGUUUGCUUUGGUAUGGGGUCUAUAUUAUUAUGUUACCGGAGAAGUUUCAUGUUUAGUUUGGAAAGUUUUUCUUUUAUUUUAGAUACAGCGCGCGCGCAAGAUUGAGGAGACAUCACGUGACGCGGGUUUAUAUUAAGAAAAACUUAGUCUUUUAAUUUCUUUUUAGGUCGGGACCUUGAACAGACAACAUGUCUAGAGAUGGAAUGUACACAAUGUAAUUUCUUUUGUCAUUGUAGGAAAUUGACAUUUUGAUCACAGUUCACCAGCAGUGCAUGUUUUGGAUUUAAUCGAUCCGGUGUAACUUUAAAACACAUUUAAUGAUUAUUUUUUGAUAAUGUCCAUUUUUCAGCACCUGUUUGUAACACAGAUUAGUAUUUCAAUCUCGGAGCGGACAUUUUAUUGUAGGUUUUUACUGAGAUUGACGGACCUAGCAAGCGAUUUUUACGGCAUUGCCAUUUCUUUUUUCUAGGAAAAGUCUUGAGAGAUAUCUA